UUAAUUGAAGCCAAAAAGAGGCAUUUCAUUGUUAAUGAAAUCAAUGGUUUUAACACCCAAUUAAA
rnacentral:tRNA from 1 species